AGCGAACGCUGGCGGCAGGCUUAACACAUGCAAGUCGAACGGGCAUCUUCGGAUGUCAGUGGCAGACGGGUGAGUAACACGUGGGAACGUACCCUUCGGUUCGGAAUAACUCAGGGAAACUUGAGCUAAUACCGGAUACGCCCUUUUGGGGAAAGGUUUACUGCCGAAGGAUCGGCCCGUGUCUGAUUAGCUUGUUGGUGGGGUAACGGCCUACCAAGGCGACGAUCAGUAGCUGGUCUGAGAGGAUGAUCAGCCACACUGGGACUGAGACACGGCCCAGACUCCUACGGGAGGCAGCAGUGGGGAAUAUUGGACAAUGGGCGCAAGCCUGAUCCAGCCAUGCCGCGUGAGUGAUGAAGGCCCUAGGGUUGUAAAGCUCUUUUGUCCGGGACGAUAAUGACGGUACCGGAAGAAUAAGCCCCGGCUAACUUCGUG
rnacentral:rRNA from 1 species